AACAAGCAAACCGUGGAUUCCCGUGUUAACGUUUAAUUGUCCGUCUUAUAUGAUUUUUUUUAUAAUUAGUAUUUUCAUUGUUGUUAGAUGAUAAAACAUGAUUAAUAUUUUAUGCAUGACUUAUCUUUUUAAUUUUUUAUAACUUUUUUAAAUAAGACGAACAGUCAAACAUUGGAAACGGAAAUCAAGGUUUGUCUUUUU
rnacentral:pre_miRNA from 1 species